rnacentral:misc_RNA from 1 species
AUCAGCUGAUGUGACUGUGGGCGUCUUUCCAUAUACCCUCCACUUGCAAUGCUUGUAUCUUCGUUUGCAAAGUGCUCCGACCGCCUAGACGUCGUCGGAGGAGACCAGACAGGAACAACACUACCAUCUCUCUCUGUCCAACUACUGGAGGUCUCGUCUCUCGACUGUGCUGAAUGUUGUGGAGUGAAACGAGGAAUCAUAUUAUCUCUCCCUGUUUGAUUAAUUUCUUCUCUUUGAGGCUGCAGGCGGAAGUUGUUAUCAGAGGGUACUUCUGCUCUGCUUUCUUCAGCAUUGUUCCCAGACACUUCGUCAUAUUCAACUCUGACCAGUGAAGAAGUCAUGCUUGGAACCAUCUGAUCUUCAUGUCUGCGGACACCGGUCAGAGUGUUAUUGGCUCUGACCUGUUCGUGGUCGACUUCCAUCUGUAUGUCCUGGG